GAUGAACGCUAGCUACAGGCUUAACACAUGCAAGUCGAGGGGUAACGAGAGGAAAGCUUGCUUUCCUUGUCGACGACCGGCGCACGGGUGAGUAACGCGUAUCCAACCUGCCCCCAACUAGGGAAUAACCUUGCGAAGGUAAGACUAAUACCCUAUAAUUUCCUCAGAUGACAUCUGACGAGGAAUAAAGAUUUAUCGGUUGUGGAUGGGGAUGCGUCUGAUUAGCUUGUUGGCGGGGUAACGGCCCACCAAGGCAACGAUCAGUAGGGGUUCUGAGAGGAAGGUCCCCCACAUUGGAACUGAGACACGGUCCAAACUCCUACGGGAGGCAGCAGUGAGGAAUAUUGGUCAAUGGGCGGAAGCCUGAACCAGCCAAGUAGCGUGCAGGAUGACGGCCCUAUGGGUUGUAAACUGCUUUUAUACAGGAAUAAAGUUAGCCACGUGUGGUCAUUUGUAGGUACUGUAUGAAUAAGGACCGGCUAAUUCCGUGCCAGCCGCCGCGGUAA
rnacentral:rRNA from 1 species